AUACCCUAAUCCAAUUUCCACUCAUAGUGGCCCUCAAGAUAUAAAAUGGGAAAUAAUUCAUGAAGUGAUCCCUUUUUUGGAUAAAAUAUUAUCACAAAACAGCACAGAAAUAGGAUCUUUCUUGAAAAUGGUGAUCGGUCUCACCUUAGAAGCUCUUUGGAAAAACUUAAAGAAAGAUAAUUGGAAUGUUUCUAAUCUGUUGAUGACAUUUACUCAGCAUCCGAAUAACCUUUUGAAAACCAUAGAAACAGUUUUAGAGGCCUCCAGUGGAAUUAAAAGUGACUAUGAAGGUGAUUUGAGUAAAAGUUUAUAUUUUGACACACCUUUGAGUCAGAAUAUAACUCAUCAUCAACUUGAAAAAGCAAUCCACAAUGUUUUAAGUAGAAUAGCUCUCUGGAGGAAAGGGCUUCUGUUUAACAACUCUGAAUGGAUAACUUCCACAAGAACUUUGUUUCAGCCACUUUUUGAGAUUUUCAUUAAAGCAACCACCGGAAAGAAUGUCACAUCAGAAAGAGAAGAGAGAAGCAAGAAAGAGAUGAUUGACUUUCCUUAUAGUUUCAAACCAUUUUCUUGUUUGGAGAAAUACCUGAGAAGAUUAUUUGUAUUGACUAAAUACUGGCAACAAAUCCCAUUGACAGAUCAAAGUGUUGUUGAGAUGUGUGAAGUUUUCCAGCAGACUGUGAAGCCCUCAGAAGCCAUGGAGAUGCUGCAGAAAGUGAAGAUGAUGAUCGUACGUGUGCUCACCAUCGUUGCAGAAAACCCUUCCUGGACCAAGGACAUUUUGUGUGCUACUCUGAGUUGCAAGCAAAGUGGGAUAAGGCAUCUUAUUUUAUCUGCUAUACAAGGGGUCACUUUGGCACAGGACCACUUCCAGGAAAUUGAAAAGAUAUGGUCCUCGCCGAAUCAGCUAAAUUGUGAAAGUCUUAGCAAGAAUCUUUCUAGCACCUUGGAGAGCUUCAAGAGCAGCUUGGAAAAUGCCACUGACCAGGACUGCACAUGCCAGCUGAGGCUGGAGACAGUGCAGCAGCACUUGCACAUGUUGGCCAAAAGCCUUGAGAAAACUUGGUCAUCAGGGAAUCCCAUCAUGACUUUUCUCAGCAAUUUCACAGUAACUGAGGAUGUAAAAGUAAAAGAUUUGAUGAAGAAUAUCACCAAGUUGACUGAGGAGCUUCGCUCUUCCAUCCACAUCUCGAAUGAGACUAUCCAUAGCAUGCUAGAAGCAAAUAUUUCCCACUCCAAGGUUCUCUUCAGUGCCCUCACCGUAGCUCUGUCUGGAAAGUGUGAUCAGAAAAUCCUUCAUCUCCUGCUGACAUUUCCCGAAGGGGAAAAAUCUUGGAUCGCGACGAAGGAACUCUGUAGCCUGCCGGGGUCAAAAGUGUAUCCUCUGAUUGUGUUGCUGAGUCGAAACCUGGAUGUGCGAGCUUUCAUUUACAAGACUCUGAUGCCUUCUGAAGCAAAUGGCUUGCUCAACUCCUUGCUGGAUGUAGUUUCCAGCCUCAGCUCCUUGCUUGCCAAAGCCCAGCACAUCUUUGAGUAUCUUCCUGAGUUUCUUCACACAUUUAAAAUCACUGCCUUGCUAGAAACGCUGGACUUUCAACAGGUUUCACAAAAUGUCCAGGCCAGAAGUUCAGCUUUUGGUUCUUUCCAGUUUAUGAUGAAGAUGGUUUGCAAGGACCAAGCAUCAUUCCUUAGCGAUUCUAAUACAUUCAUUAAUUUGCCCAGAGUUAACGAACUCUUGGAAGAUGACAAAGAAAAAUUCAACAUUCCUGAAGAUUCAACACCGUUUUGCUUGAAGCUUUAUCAGGAAAUUCUACAAUUGCCAAAUGGUGCUUUGGUGUGGACCUUCCUAAAACCCAUAUUGCAUGGAAAAAUACUAUACACACCAAACACUCCAGAAAUUAACAAGGUCAUUCAAAAGGCUAAUUACACCUUUUAUAUUGUGGACAAACUAAAAACUUUAUCAGAAACACUGCUGGAAAUGUCCAGCCUUUUCCAGAGAAGUGGAAGUGACCAGAUGUUCAACCAGCUGCAGGAGGCCCUGAGAAACAAAUUUGUGAGAAACUUUGUAGAAAACCAGUUGCACAUUGAUGUAGACAAACUUACUGAAAAACUCCAGACAUACGGAGGGCUGCUGGAUGAGAUGUUUAACCAUGCAGGUGCUGGACGCUUCCGUUUCUUGGGCAGCAUCUUGGUCAAUCUCUCUUCCUGCGUGGCACUGAACCGUUUCCAGGCUGUGCAGUCUGUCGACAUCCUGGAGACUAAAGCACAUGAACUCUUGCAGGAGAACAGCUUCUUGGCCAGUAUCAUUUUCAACAAUUCCUUAUUCGACAAGAACUUCAGAUCAGAGUCUGCCAAACUGCCACCUCAUGUCUCAUACACAAUCCGGACCAAUGUGUUAUACAGCGUGCGAACAGAUGUGGUAAAAAACCCUUCUUGGAAGUUCCACCCUCAGAAUCUACCAGCUGAUGGGUUCAAAUAUAACUACGUCUUUGUCCCACUGCAAGACAUGAUCGAAAGAGCCAUCAUUUUGGUGCAGACUGGGCAGGAAGCUCUGGAACCAGCAGCACAGACUCAGGCGGCCCCUUACCCCUGCCAUACCAGCGAUCUAUUCCUGAACAACGUUGGUUUCUUUUUUCCACUGAUAAUGAUGCUGACGUGGAUGGUGUCUGUGGCCAGCAUGGUCAGAAAGUUGGUGUAUGAGCAGGAGAUACAGAUAGAAGAGUAUAUGCGGAUGAUGGGAGUGCAUCCAAUGAUCCAUUUCCUGGCCUGGUUCCUGGAGAACAUGGUUGUGUUGACCAUAAGCAGUGCUACUCUGGCCAUCAUUCUGAAAACAAGUGGCAUCUUUGCGCACAGCAAUACCUUUAUUAUUUUCCUCUUUCUCUUGGAUUUUGGGAUGUCAGUCGUCAUGCUGAGCUACCUCUUGAGUGCAUUUUUCAGCCAAGCUAAUACAGCGGCCCUUUGUACCAGCCUGGUGUACAUAAUCAGCUUUCUGCCCUACAUAGUUCUAUUGGUUCUACAUAACCAAUUAAGUUUUGUUUUUCAGACAUUUCUGUGCCUUCUCUCCACAACCGCCUUUGGACAAGGGGUAUUUUUUAUUACAUUCCUGGAAGGACAAGAGACAGGGAUUCAGUGGAAUAAUAUGUACCAGGAUCUGGAACAAGGGGGCAUGACAUUUGGCUGGAUUUGCUGGAUGAUUCUUUUUGAUUCAAGCCUUUAUUUUUUGUGUGGAUGGUACUUGAGCAACUUGAUUCCUGGAACAUUUGGUCUAUGGAAACCAUGGUAUUUCCCCUUUACUGCCUCAUAUUGGAAGAGUGUGGGUCUCGUGAUGGAGAAAAGGCAAUACUCUCUAAGUUCUAGUCUGUUCUUCUUCAAUGAGAACUUUGACAGUAAAGGGUCAUCACUGCAAAACACGGAAGGAGAGCUUGAAGGAAGUGCCCCGGGAGUCACCCUGGUGUCUGUGACCAAGGAAUAUGAGGGCCACAAGGCUGUGGUCCAAGACCUCAGCCUGACCUUCUACAGAGACCAAAUCACCGCCCUGCUGGGGACAAAUGGUGCCGGGAAAACCACUAUCAUAUCCAUGUUGACGGGGCUCCACCCUCCCACUUCUGGAACCAUCAUCAUCAAUGGCAAGAACCUGCAGACAGACCUGUCGAGGGUCAGAAUGGAGCUUGGUGUGUGUCCGCAGCAGGACGUCCUGUUAGACAACCUCACCGUCCGGGAACAUUUGCUGCUCUUUGCUUCCAUAAAGGCGCCUCAGUGGACCAAGAAGGAGCUGCAUCAGCAAGUCAAUCAAACUCUUCAGGAUGUGGACUUAACUCAGCAUCAGCACAAACAGACCCGAGCUCUGUCUGGAGGCCUGAAGAGGAAGCUCUCCCUUGGCAUUGCUUUCAUGGGCAUGUCGAGGACUGUGGUUCUGGAUGAGCCCACCAGUGGGGUGGACCCUUGCUCCCGGCAUAGCCUGUGGGACAUUCUGCUCAAGUACCGAGAAGGUCGUACGAUCAUCUUCACAACCCAUCACCUGGACGAAGCCGAAGCGCUGAGUGACUGCGUGGCCAUCCUCCAGCACGGUAGGCUCAGGUGCUGCGGUCCUCCCUUCUGCCUGAAGGAGGCAUAUGGCCAGGGGCUCCGCCUGACACUCACGAGGCAGCCUUCUGUUCUGGAGGCCCAUGAUCUGAAAGACAUGGCUUUUGUUACAUCCCUGAUAAAGAUCUAUAUUCCACAAGCAUUUCUCAAAGACAGCAGUGGAAGUGAGCUGACCUACACCAUUCCAAAGGACACAGACAAGGCCUGCUUGAAAGGGCUCUUCCAGGCUCUGGAUGAGAACCUGCAUCAGCUGCACCUGACGGGCUAUGGGAUCUCAGACACCACCUUAGAAGAGGUGUUUUUGAUGCUUUUGCAAGAUUCCACUAAGAAAUCUCACAUUGCCCUGGGGACUGAGUCAGAGCUGCAGAACCAUAGGCCUACCGGACAUCUGUCUGGCUACUGUGGCUCCCUAGCACGGCCCGCACCUGUGCGGGGCCUCCAGCUGCUCCGCGCGCAAGUGGCAGCGCUCCUGGCCCGGAGGCUCCGCCGCACGCUGCGCGCCGGGAAGAGCACCCUCGCCGACCUGCUGCUGCCUGUCCUCUUCGUGGCCUUGGCCAUGGGCUUGUUCAUGGUGAGACCCCUGGCCACCGAGUACCCUCCCCUCAGACUCACACCUGGACAUUACCAGCGGGCCGAGACCUACUUUUUCAGCAGCAGUGGGGGCGAUGAUUUGGACCUCACUCGUGUGCUUCUACGGAAGUUUAGAGAUCAAGAUUUGCCCUGUGCAGAUUUAAACCCACAACAGAAGAAUUCUUCAUGCUGGCGCACAGAUCCCUUUUCUCACCCAGAAUUCCAGGAUUCAUGUGGCUGCCUGAAGUGUCCAAAUAGAAGUGCUAGUGCUCCCUACCUGACCAACCACCUGGGCCACACACUGUUGAAUCUCUCAGGCUUCAAUAUGGAGGAGUACUUGCUGGCACCAUCUGAAAAACCAAGGCUUGGAGGUUGGUCUUUUGGAGUAAAAAUCCCCCGUGAAGCUGGAGGUGCAAAUGCAAACAUAUCAAAACCCCCAACUCUGGCAAAGGUGUGGUAUAAUCAGAAGGGUUUUCAUUCCCUACCUUCCUAUUUAAAUCAUCUAAACAACCUUAUUUUGUGGCAGCACCUAUCCCCUACUGUGGACUGGAGACAAUACGGAAUAACACUCUACAGCCACCCAUAUGGAGGGGCCUUGCUGAAUGAGGACAAGAUCCUGGAGAGCAUCCGUCAGUGUGGAGUGGCCCUCUGCAUCGUGCUGGGAUUCUCCAUCCUGUCUGCAUCCAUUGGCAGCUCCGUGGUGAGGGACAGAGUGAUUGGAGCCAAAAGGUUGCAGCACAUAAGUGGCCUUGGCUACAGGAUGUACUGGUUCACAAACUUCCUAUAUGACAUGCUCUUUUACUUGGUUUCCGUCUGCCUGUGUGUUGCUGUUAUUGUCGCCUUCCAGUUAACAGCUUUUACUUUCCGCGAGAACUUGGCAGCCACGGCCCUCCUGCUGUCACUUUUCGGAUAUGCAACUCUUCCGUGGAUGUACCUGAUGUCCAGAAUCUUUCCCAGUUCCGACGUGGCUUUCAUUUCCUAUGUCUCACUAAACUUCAUCUUUGGCCUUUGUACCAUGCUCAUAACCAUCAUGCCCCGGUUGCUAGCCAUCAUCUCCAAAGCUAAGAAUUUACAGAAUAUCUAUGAUGUCCUCAAGUGGGUCUUUACUAUUUUUCCUCAAUUCUGCCUUGGUCAAGGACUGAUAGAACUCUGCUAUAAUCAGAUCAAAUACGACCUGACCCACAACUUCGGCAUUGAUUCCUAUGUGAGUCCCUUUGAGAUGAACUUUCUGGGCUGGAUCUUCGUGCAACUGGCCACGCAGGGCACAGUACUUCUCCUCUUGAGGGUUCUGCUACACUGGGACCUUCUGCGAUGGCCAAGGGGUCAUUCUACUCUCCAAGGCAUAGUCAAAUCCUCUAAGGAUACAGAUGUUGAAAAAGAGGAAAAGAGGGUGUUUGAAGGAAGGACCAAUGGAGACAUUCUUGUAUUAUACAACCUUAGUAAACAUUAUCGACGCUUUUUCCAGAAUAUUAUUGCUGUGCAAGAUAUUAGUUUGGGCAUACCAAAAGGAGAGUGCUUUGGACUUCUGGGGGUAAAUGGAGCUGGGAAGAGCACGACUUUCAAAAUGCUGAAUGGUGAAGUUUCUCCAACUUCAGGACAUGCUAUCAUCAGGACUCCCAUGGGAGAUGCCGUGGACCUGACUUCUGCUGGCGUGGCAGGUGUGCUCAUUGGCUACUGUCCCCAGCAGGAUGCCCUGGACGAGCUUCUGACUGGUUGGGAACAUCUCUAUUAUUACUGUAACUUACGCGGGAUUCCAAGGCAGUGCAUCCCUGAGGUUGCUGGAGACCUCAUCAGGCGCUUACACCUCGAAGCCCAUGCGGACAAACCUGUGGCCACCUACAGUGGGGGAACCAAGCGGAAACUCUCUACAGCCCUGGCCCUGGUGGGGAAACCUGACAUUCUUUUACUGGAUGAGCCCAGCUCUGGGAUGGAUCCCUGCUCUAAGCGGUACCUGUGGCAAACAAUAAUGAAGGAGGUUCAGGAAGGCUGUGCUGCGGUGCUGACCUCCCACAGCAUGGAGGAGUGUGAGGCUCUUUGCACAAGACUGGCCAUAAUGGUCAACGGCAGCUUCAAAUGUCUUGGUUCUCCUCAGCACAUCAAAAAUAGGAAGUUAAAUAAGACAAACUGAAGUCAGCUGGUGACCAAGCACAUGGAGAAGGCAGCAUGGGUGCAGGAGAUGUUGGAGAACACGAUAAUAGAACUUUACAGCCAGCUGAUCUGAGCUUGAGAAAAGGAGGUGCCUUCGGGUUUGGGACAUGGAAAGAUAGUGAUGUCUUUAGAGAAACAGAAGUUGGGUGGGCUGUGAGGGUGAGGAGGAUUCUGGGUGUUGAGUAUGUUCCUAGGGAAGCACUGAUGGGCUGUUUGGAGAAUUCCUAUGAAGAAGGGCCGUUGAUAUUCAUGUCUGUUUUGCUAUGGCAAGAAGGAGGAGAGAAAACUUAAAGUUGGGGGUGAUUAUUGCAUGUGGUUGAGAAGGAGGAAUAAGUAGCUGAAUUCAUCACAACUUUGAAGCAAUAUUUAUAAACUGAAGUAAAGUGAGCUGAGCUCAGAUUCAUGCUUCUGCAUUUAUUUUAAUUAUUACUAAAUAUAGGCAAUUUGCC
rnacentral:sRNA from 1 species